UACGUAGGGUGCGAGCGUUGUCCGGAAUUAUUGGGCGUAAAGGGCUCGUAGGCGGUUUGUCGCGUCGGGAGUGGAAACACUGGGCUUAACUCAGUGCUUGCUUCCGAUACGGGCAGACUAGAGGUAUGCAGGGGAGAACGGAAUUCCUGGUGUAGCGGUGAAAUGCGCAGAUAUCAGGAGGAACACCGGUGGCGAAGGCGGUUCUCUGGGCAUUACCUGACGCUGAGGAGCGAAAGUGUGGGGAGCGAACAGG
rnacentral:rRNA from 1 species